AUGGGCGUGGAAGAAGGCGAGAAGCCGCACGCCGUGUGCCUGCCGGCACCGGCGCAAGGGCACAUCACGCCGAUGCUGGAGAUGGCCAAGCUGCUCCACGCCCGGGGCUUCCACAUCACCUUCGUCAACACCGAGUUCAACCAUCGCCGGCUGCUCCGCUCCCGCGGGGCGGCGGCACUUGACGGCCUCCCGAGCUUCCGCUUCGCCGCGAUACCGGACGGGCUCCCCGCGUCAGACGCCGACGCCACCCAGGACGUCCCCGCCCUGUGCUACGCCAUGAUGACCACCUUUCUCCCCCACCUCCGGGCCCUUCUUGCCAAGCUCAAUGACCCGGGCUCCGGGGUGCCGCCGAUCACCUGCCUCGUCGUCGACGGUGUCGCAUCGUUCAGCUACGAUGCCGCGCAGGAGCUCGGCGUGCCUUGCGCCGCGUUGUGGACGUCCAGCGCUUGCGGGUUCAUGGGUUACCGCCACUUCCGUCGGCUAAUCGACCGGGAUCUUGUGCCUUUCAAAGACGAGGAGCAGCUGACGGACAAUGGGCAUCUCGACACGGCGGUCGACGGCAUGAGCGGCAUGUGCCAUGGCAUACGGCUGCGCGACUUCCCGACGAUGAUCCGCACCACCGACCGCGACGACAUCAUGCUCAACUACGUCAUGCGCGAGGCCGAGAGGCUGUCGCUCCCCGACGCCGUGCUGCUCAACACCUUCGACGCACUCGAGCAGCCGGUUCUCGACGCCAUGCACGCCAUCCUCCCGCCCAUGUACACCGUCGGCCCGCUGCAUCUCCACGCCAGCAGCGUCGUCCCCACCGGCACCCCGCUCGACGGCCUCGGCUCCAACCUCUGGAAGGAGCAGGACGGCCUCCUCGCGUGGCUCGACGGGCACGGCGCCGGAGCCGUCGUGUACGUCAACUACGGAAGCGUCGCCGUGAUGACGAACGAGCAGCUCCUGGAGCUCGGGUGGGGGCUGGCCGACAGCGGCUACACGUUCAUAUGGAACGUCCGGCCGGACCUCGUCAGGGGAGAGACCGCCGUGAUGCCGCCGGAGUUCCUAGCAUCGGUCCACGGCCGCGCCAUGCUCACGACGUGGUGCCCGCAGGCGGAGGUCCUCGGGCACGAGGCGGUGGGGGUGUUCCUGACGCACUCCGGCUGGAACUCCACGCUCGAGAGCAUCUCCGCCGGCGUGCCGAUGCUGUGCUGGCCGUUCGCCGGGGAGCAGCAGACCAACUGUCGGUACAAGUGCACCGAGUGGGGGAUCGGGAUGGAGAUCGGCGGCGAGGUGAAGCGGGCGGAAGUGGCGGCGAUGAUACGCGAGGCGAUGGUGGGGGGCAAGGGGCGGGAGAUGAGGCGGCAUGCGGCGGAGUGGAAGGAGAAGGCCCAGCGUGCGUCGCUGCCAGGUGGGGCCGCAGAGGCCAACCUAGACGAGGUUUACAUAAGGAGGGAGAAUGCCGGCAGCUGGAAUUCUGGGCUGGAAAAGGAGCAAAUAUUAGAGACAUAUUCUACGCAACUCCAAAAGUCCUGA
rnacentral:rRNA from 1 species